UAUGUGACAUCAGGAACUACUUCUAUGUGACAUCAGGAACUAGUUCUAUGUGACAUCAUGAUCUAGUUCUAUGUGACAUCAGGAACUAGUUCUAUGUGACAUCAGGAACUACUUCUAUGUGACAUCAGGAACUACUUCUAUGUGACAUCAUGAUCUAGUUCUAUGUGACAUCAGGAACUACUUCUAUGUGACAUCAGGAACUACUUCUAUGUGACAUCAUGAUCUAGUUCUAUGUGACAUCAGGAUCUAGUUCUAUGUGACAUCAGGAACUACUUCUAUGUGAAAUAGAUGUUAUCUGGAGCUAAGCAAAUGUGGGUUUUUACAAAGCUAAUCCCCAGCUACAAACAAACUUUUUCUGUUAUAGCUUCAGGAUGCACUACCAGUCACAAUAGAUUAGUCAACAAAGCUAUAAUUGUAAAAGAUAUUUGUACCCCCCGGAUUAGCUGGAAAAAAACUCAAAAUAUUCUUAUUUCCAGAUUAACUAUAUUCAUCUGAUUGUCUAUUUAAUGGCAUUUCUUUGUUAAUUGAUAAAAAAAAUAGUAUUAACAAGAAAAUGGGUUGUUGAGUUAAAGUAUUUAGUGAUUUUUUAGUGACAUUGUCCGAUUGAAGUUUAAGUUCAGCACCUUGUUUUUCAUGAUAAUUUUUUUUUUUUUAAUAUAUCUUGCCCUUAAUUGACUCUUUUACCUACAUGUGUUGAAAUGCCAUACCAAUGAUAUUUCAUUAUUUUUCUGAUUUUAAGCUGUCGGAAACGAUAGCAGGGUUCCACUGUACAUAUCAAUAGGCUAACAAGUUUUUUUGAAAAUUUCUGUAAAUAAGCACUUGAAUAGUAAAAAAUUUCAAGUUUUGUACUCUAAAAGGAUGACUAUGUUCAUAUUAAAUUGGUACAAUAGUUUUUGUAAUUAUUUUUGAACAUUAUUUGAGGGUGAUAAAACUCAUGUUCUUGCUGUAUUUACAGUACCUAGAAUAAAGUUCUCAUGACAGCACUGAGAUUUUUUUUUCAUGGAAGUAUUUUAUUGUCAUUGAUUGAUUUUUUCUAAAUCAUUUAAUUAAUUUCAAUUGAAAAGUAAGCAUUAUUUCUUUUCAAAUCUGGUAUUUAAUUGACAAGAAAGCAUAAUUUAUUUUCAAAUUUUGUAUUCAAGAUUAUUGAAAAAGCAAUGUGUGAAAUAAUUUUGAAGAAAAAAAUAAACUCAGGGGGUACAUAAAUUGUAUAAUUGUUUAAUGGACAAUCAUAUUGAAAGCAUAAUGAUUUAAGUACUGUGUACAGAAUAUGAUAUAUAUAUUUAUAACAGAAUAGUUUCCAAAUUGGUCAGUUUGUAAAGUAGAAUAGUUUCCAAAUUGUUCAGUUUUUAUAGCAGAAUGGUUUCCAAAUUGUUCUGUUUUUAUAGCGGAAUAAUUUCCAAAUUAUUCAGUUUUUAAAGCAGGAAAGUUUCCUAAUUGUUCAGUUUUCAUAACAGAAUAGUUUCCAAAUUAAUCAGUUUGUAUGGCAGAAUAGUUUCCAAAUUGUUCUGUUUUUAUAGCAGAAUGGUUUCCAAAUUGUUCAGUUUGUAAAGCAGAAUAGUUUCCAAAUUAAUCAGUUUGUAAAGCAGAAUAGUUUCCAAAUUGUUCAGUUUAUAUGGCAGAAUAGUUUCCAAAUUGUUCAGUUUAUAUGGCAGAAUAGUUUCCAAAUUGUUCAGUUUAUAUGGCAGAAUAGUUUCCAAAUUGUUCAGUUUAUAUGGCAGAAUAGUUUCCAAAUUGUUCAGUUUAUAUGGCAGAAUAGUUUCCAAAUUGUUCAGUUUAUAUGGCAGAAUAGUUUCCAAAUUUGUUCAGUUUAUAUGGCAGAAUAGUUUCCAAAUUGUUCAGUUUUUAUGGCAGAAUAGUUUACAAAUUGUUUUGUAUAGUUGAAUAGUCAUAGUAAUUCAUUUAAGCUCAAACCCUGUAAAAAUUUGUAUAAAUAGCAAAGGAUAUCAGGUGUUUUAAAUAUUUUUAUUUUCAUCAUGUACCUGUGUCAUUGUUAUGAAUAUAGGUUUGUUAUAUAUUAUAUCAUUUGCACUUAGAUUGACAUAGAUGCUUCAGUGGAAAUUUAGAGGUUGUUUAUCAGUCAGUCUCUGUUUACAUUAAAAUUUUACAUCUCUUAUCAUUACUCAGGGGAAAUCUUCAAGCAAAUGGGCACAAAUGAUUUUGUCAUAAAAGCUGUAUAUACCUUGGUUCCUAUAAGUUAGUUUAAGGUAAAUAUUUUGUUAAAUUUCUUGUCAUUUUAUAAUGAAGAAAAAAACAUGUACAUGUAUGAUAUUUACACAGGAUUAAAUGUUAAUUCUCAGUUAUAAUUUCAGAAGAAAGUUUUUUCCAUCUGUGCUUAAAAUGAUUGGUAUUCACACAUUUAAUAACAUUUUAAUACGUUUUCUAUGUAAUGGUUUCCAAAAUAUUUGCAUUGUAUACUAUAAAUGAAACAGAUUUAAGUUAAAUCAGUUUUUAUAAUCCUGUUAGAGGCCUGCAAAUUAAGGGUGUUAGGAUUUUCAAAGGUUAGGGUUUACAGGCUUGCGGAAGUUAGGACGUUAGGCACCUGCAUGGGUUUGGGUAGGGUUUAGGGGCCUGUGAAAGUUAGGAUGUUAGGCACCUGCAUGGGUUAGGGUAGAGUUUAGGGCUUGCGAAAGUAGGAUAUUAGGCACCUGCAAAGGUUUGGGUGUUAAAGGUUUGCAAUAAAAUAAAACAAAGCCAAUAGUGUGUGAUCACUCAGCAUCAGUUAAACUGAAAAGUCGUCAUAUCACAUUUACAAUUGUUAUUUUACUUAAAACCCAAACUGUAAAGGUUGCAAACAUCAUAUCAUUUGUCUAUCAGUGUUUUGGUUUGCCAGGGAUUCUAUCAUGAAGGAAGCUUUCCAGCUUGAUUACUGAAGGUUGGUGGUUCUACACAGGUGCCUUUUCAUGAAAGUAUGGCAAGGAAUGGUUCCUGAAUACUUCCUCCACCUGAAAGCUGAAACGUUUAAUGACCAUUACACUGUAGGUGUAAAGUUAACUCUUAAAUGUAAAUGAUAUGCUUGCUGAAAGGAGUUGUCUCCCUUGAACUUUUGAAUAUGUCAGUAAAUGGAAAAUAGAAUUUCUUGUUUACAGGGCACAUUUUACCUUCUUUAAAAGUUUAAAGAAUAUAUUACUCAUAUUUGUUUGGUUUUAUUUUAUGAAAACAAAUAGAUUGAACUUCAGUUUUAUAUUUUGUUACCUCAGAUUUAUAUUAUUAUAAGCAAAAAUAUGCAGCAAUAUGAUACCUUUGGGAAAAACAUACAAAUUGCAGCUGGUGAAUUACCUUGUGUUAAUUUAUGUUUGCAUUUUAAGACUUAUUAUAAUUAUACCCCCACACAACAAAGUUGUAAGUGGGGUAUACUGGAAUCAGCUUGUCCGUCUGGCUGUCACUGGGUCAAAGGUCAAGGUCACAGGGGCCUUGAUUUCAAAUAGUUUGUCGGCCCAAUAACUUAAGAAACCUUUGACCCACAGUCUUUAUAUUUGGCAUGGAGGUUAGUCAUGAUAAGUAGAUGACCCCUAUUUAUUUUUAUUACACUGGGUCAAAGGUCAAGGUCACAGGGGCCUUGACUAAAAAAGCUUGUCCGCUCAAUAACUUAAGAUUCCUUUGACCCACAGUCUUCAUAUUUGGCAUGGAGGUUAGUCAUGAUUAGUAGGUGACCCCUAUUUAUUUUAAGGUCACUGGGUCAAAGAUCAAGGUCACAUGGACUUUGACUUCAAAAAGAUUGUCCACCCAUUAACUUAAUAUUCCUUUGACCCACAGUCUUCAUAUUUGGCAUGGAGGUUGAUCAUGACUAUAAGGUGACCCCUAUUGAUUUUGAGGGUCACUGGGUCAAAGGUCGACUAAAAAAAGCUUUUCCCCUCAAUUGCUUAAGAAUGCCUGUCCGCAGUUUAUUGAUUUUGACAUUUUCACAUUUGAAGCAUGUAGAAUACAUAGCACUGGCUUAGUAACCUUUGGCAGGGACGUUGUCCUUGAGCUCUAAAUGGCCACUGUUGAUUCUGACAAAGUGGUAUGCAGGGGUAUUCACGCCAUGACAGUGGCAGUUCUAGUUAUAACUGUUUUUGAUUCCAAGUAAUUUUUAAAGAUGAAACCUACAAUUUUUAUAAUUGUUACAAAAUAGUUGCUCAAAUGGGAAAUCUGUUAAUGUAUUGUUAUGAUGGUGUUGUUUUGGUAAUAAAUGUUAAAAGUAACAAA